UAGAUGGAUGCUCGCUGGUUAGGGCGCCUAGCUGUUAACUAGGAUUUUGGGGGAUCGAGGCCCUCCCGUCUAU
rnacentral:tRNA from 1 species